rnacentral:lncRNA from 1 species
GGAUUCCCAAUGGAGCUCCGGAUUGCACUACCUUUGAGCAGGGAAGGAAAAGCACCUCAGGGUUGAACAGGAGGUAGAAAGAGGUUGAUUUGAGGUUGAUGUUUCGAGUCUUAAGGUUUCAGCUCAGCAUCAGUUAUUGGUUCUUUCAGCGUUGUGUCUCUCUGAGUUACCCACCACCUUCUUGCCCUCUUCUUUCUGCCCCAAACUACUAAGUACCAGACCUUUGCACUGUUGGGAUGUGCCCCUCUCCGGCCUGAGGGUGAAGAGAAACAGGAACCCUCCAAACUGAUGCACUAACCUGGAAUGGGGCUGGAAACGCGGCGCUUGAUUCCUGGUGAGCAGCCGGGACCGUCUGUGGCGGCUUCUGAUCUCUCCAGGUCCCUCCUUUGCCAGCCUUUUCCUUGGAAUUCACUGAUCCACCAGCAUUCCUAAGAACUAAGCUGCAGGUAGGACACUUGCAUAGAUGGGGAUUCACAAGAGGGGGCGAGGAGCCGCUCGCGCACCCCACGUUUACGACGGUCGUGGCACAGACCUGGGUUGAAAACACGCUUUUUUGGGUUGGUUCAUUUUGCUUCUUUUUCCUCAUGGAAAGCGGAUCCCAAACCACCAUUUCGGGAGGUGAGACCCAGCUCCAGGCGGGGAAUGGGAAGCUGAUGGGAAUGGGGGUCUCUCCGGAGGCAAUGGUGCUUUGCUUCCUGGUUUGUCCCCCCCAUAGCGAUGGGUUUGGGCAUCACCCACCUUUGUUUUGGGGCUGGACACGAGGAAAGCUGCCACAUCCAAGCCCUGUGCUUCCCGGGAAUCCUCACCUCCUCCCUCCUGAAAGCCACAAGGUUUGUUUCAACCUCUUGCUUUAUCCAGCAUAGUGGCCGAUGAGCCAUUGGAACACCCCCACCAGAACCAUCUCAGUGUUGGGUUGGGGGUUUGUUGGGUUUUUUGGGGUCACAUUUGGUGCUUUUCCACCCUUUUUCUUUCCUUCAUUUCAUCUUUUUGCUUCCUAAGAAGCCGAACCCGCUCCGGCUUCACCAGCCGGCAGCUGGGAGAACGGGAAUUCUGUUUCCUGCUGUAAAUACCACGUUGUCAUCCCCACUUCUGUGUCAGGACCAUCUAAUGGUGCUUUUUACUACAGUUGGCACACGCCUUUUUAGAGAGUACGUGUUUGAGCAGACGUUUGCUGUGUACCAGGGUAAUUCUGUCUCGUUGGACUGUUAUAACUGUGUUGUUAGAGAAUAAAUUAUUUCAGUA